CUGUCGCGGGCUGGGGCGGUUGGGUUGGCAGCUGAGGCUCUUGGCCAUGGAGUGGGGUUCUGAGUCGGCUGCUGUGAGGCGGCACCGCGUCGGAGGAGAGCGUCGGGAGGGAGCGGCGGCCGCGCCACCGCCGGAGAGGGAGGCCCGAGCGCAGGAGCCUCUGGUGGAUGGGUGCAACGGCGGCGGGAGGACGCGGAAGAGGAGCCCCGGGGGUAGCGGCAGCGCGAGCAGGGGCGCGGGGACCGGGCUGUCUGAGGCGCGCGCCGCGCUGGGGCUCGCGCUCUACCUGAUCGCGCUGCGGACGCUGGUGCAGCUCUCGCUGCAGCAGCUCGUGCUACGCGGGGCCGCUGGACACCGCGGGGAGUUUGACGCGCUCCAAGCCAGGGAUUAUCUUGAACACAUAACCUCCAUUGGCCCCAGGACUACAGGAAGUCCAGAAAAUGAAAUUCUGACCGUGCACUACCUUUUGGAACAGAUUAAACUGAUUGAAGUGCAAAGCAACAGCCUUCAUAAGAUUUCAGUAGAUGUACAACGGCCCACAGGCUCUUUUAGCAUUGAUUUCUUGGGAGGUUUUACAAGCUAUUAUGACAACAUCACCAAUAUUGUGGUAAAGCUGGAACCCAGAGAUGGAGCCCAGCAUGCUGUCUUGGCUAAUUGUCAUUUUGACUCAGUAGCAAACUCACCAGGUGCCAGUGAUGAUGCAGUUAGCUGCUCAGUGAUGCUGGAAGUCCUUCGCGUCUUGUCAACAUCUUCAGAAGCCUUGCAUCAUGCUGUCAUAUUUCUCUUUAAUGGUGCUGAGGAAAAUGUCUUGCAAGCCAGUCAUGGUUUCAUUACACAGCACCCCUGGGCUAGCUUGAUUCGUGCAUUCAUUAACCUAGAGGCAGCAGGUGUAGGAGGGAAAGAACUUGUAUUCCAAACAGGUCCUGAAAAUCCUUGGUUGGUUCAAGCUUAUGUUUCAGCAGCUAAACACCCUUUUGCUUCUGUGGUGGCUCAGGAGGUUUUCCAGAGUGGAAUCAUUCCUUCAGAUACUGACUUUCGUAUCUACAGGGAUUUUGGGAACAUUCCAGGUAUAUUGUCAGUGGUUAUGGCCUACUGUGCAACAUUUAUUUAUCAAAAGCAAAUUUUAAAUCUUGAAAGUUGGUGAGUAAACAGCAUUUUCUGAGAGCAAAUUCUUUAUGUGAGAAAUAUACAUUGACUCCCUAAAACAGAGUUCGUUUCC
rnacentral:sRNA from 1 species